AAAAGUAAGUACUUAGAGGAAAACCAAGUGAAGAAAAGCCACUGUAUUACCUUUUGUAUCAGGUUCCCCCAAAUAUUCAAAUUAAUUUAUUUUCUCGGAUCUUUGAUGAGCUAUCGGGGCUUUGUAAAAUAAAAGUCAAUUGGACUUAGCAGCGAAAUACUUCGAAUUAAGAAAACUAGUUUUAAUUGUACAUACAAGAGGGUAAGCCUCUUAAGAGCUAACAUAAAAUUAGUUAGAGACUAUAGUUAACUUUUAUAGUAAGUACACUAAUUAUGUGUUACAGCUAAUCUUAAACUUUGUCUGUAAAAUAGAGAUCAAUUAAACAUACAAACAAUCUUAUGUGGCAGGUAUGGGGGAAUUAGUAACUUAGUUUAACCCUCGCGUAGAACUCGCCCCAUCUUUGAAUGUUUAUCAAAAACAUUUCCCCUUGAAGAUAAGGGGUAGGGCCUGCCCAGUGAACAUUAAACGGCUGCGGUAUACUAACCGUGCUAAGGUAGCAUAAUCAUUUGCUCUUUAAUUGAGAGCUAGUAUGAAAGGUUUAACACAGAUGGGAUAUUACCAAGGGGGCAGGUGAACUUGUGGUUUGAGUAAAAACACCUAAAUAAAAAAGGGGGACGAUAAGACCCUAGAAGCUUCACGGGCUCACUCUGUUCAUUUUUAUUCUAAUAAAAAGAGAGCACCUACCGUUUAGCUGGGGUAGCGGCCUUAUAUAAACUAAGGUUUUAUCUGACCUUAGAUUUAAAGACCCUUUUUAUAGGGGUAAGUAGAUUUAGUUACUCUAGGGAUAACAGCAUAAUAGCUAUGGAGAGCCCUCAUCUAUAUAGCAGAUUGUGACCUCGAUGUUGAAUUAAGAGCCCUCUAUAAAGCAGAUCUUAUAUAUAGGAAGUUUGUUCAACUUUUAAAUUCUUACAUGAUUUGAGUUCAAAUCGGUUUAAGCCAGAUUGGUUUCUAUCUCCUUUAAAAUAAGAGACCCCUUUAGUACGAAAGGACCAAGUGGUUUUU
rnacentral:rRNA from 1 species